GUUCGUAGCUCAGUUGGUCAGAGUGCGGUGCUGAUAAGGUUGCAGGUUUGAUUCCCGCAUGGGACA